UGAGGAAUAUUGGUCAAUGGGCGAGAGCCUGAACCAGCCAAGUAGCGUGCAGGAUGACGGCCCUAUGGGUUGUAAACUGCUUUUAUGUGGGGAUAAAGUGCGUGACGUGUCAUGCAUUGCAGGUACCACAUGAAUAAGGACCGGCUAAUUCCGUGCCAGCAGCCGCGGUAAUACGGAAGGUCCGGGCGUUAUCCGGAGUUAUUGGGUUUAAAGGGAGCGUAGGCUGUCUAUUAAGCGUGUUGUGAAAUUUACCGGCUCAACCGGUGGCUUGCAGCGCGAACUGGUCGACUUGAGUAUGCAGGAAGUAGGCGGAAUUCAUGGUGUAGCGGUGAAAUGCUUAGAUAUCAUGACGAACUCCGAUUGCGCAGGCAGCUUACUGUAGCAUAACUGACGCUGAUGCUCGAAAGGGCGGGUAUCAAACAGG
rnacentral:rRNA from 1 species